rfam:Salmo salar isolate Sally breed double haploid chromosome ssa28, whole genome shotgun sequence.
UGGCUCAGUUGGUAGAGCAUGGUGUUUGCAACGCCAGGGUUGUGGGUACGAUUCCCAC